AUCUGGCCCGUCUGAGAAAAGAGAGAGAAGCAGCCAAACCCGAGGAGGAGCGGCAAAGCGAUGAGCUGCUGAAACAGACGGAAGCCGAGAGGCAGAAGAUCAUCUGGGAGUGGAAGGAGCUGCGAGCGUUUCUGGAGGAGCAGGAGCAGCGGCUGCUGUCCCGGCUGGAAGAGCUAGAGAGAGCCAUUGUCCAGAGAAGGGAUGAGGGCAUCUGCAGCCUGUCCCGGGAGAUUUCCCUGCUCAGUCAGAGGGGAGGAGAGAAGGGGUAGCAGUCACUGAACCAACCCCUGCAGGGUGCUGGGAGCACUGGGGGCAGGUAAGUCCUGGGCUCCAUUUCCCUCCCCCUCAUGGGCCGUUAGGUUUGAUAACUGCACUGAAUAGGAAGCUGCCCCCUGCCCUUGGAGCGU